CCUACGGGAGGCAGCAGUGGGGAAUAUUGCACAAUGGGGGAAACCCUGAUGCAGCAACGCCGCGUGAGUGAAGAAGUAUUUCGGUAUGUAAAGCUCUAUCAGCAGGGAAGAAAAUGACGGUACCUGAGUAAGAAGCCCCGGCUAACUACGUGCCAGCAGCCGCGGUAAUACGUAGGGGGCGAGCGUUAUCCGGAUUUACUGGGUGUAAAGGGAGCGUAGACGGCGAUACAAGUCUGAAGUGAAAGCCCGGGGCUCAACCCCGAGACUGCUUUGGAAACUGUGUUGCUGGAGUGCUGGAGAGGCAAGCGGAAUUUCUAGUGUAGCAGUGAAAUGCGUAGAUAUUAGGAAGAACACCAGUGGCGGAGGCGGCUUGCUGGACAGUAACUGACGUUGAGGCUCGAAAGCGUAGGGAGCAAACAGGAUUAGAUACCCUGGUAGUC
rnacentral:rRNA from 1 species